rnacentral:rRNA from 1 species
GCGUGUUUCUUGCCGGAGGUAGAGCUACUGGAUAGCUAAUGGGCCUCACCAGGUUACUGACGUUAGCCAAACUCCGAAUGCCGGUAAGUGAGAGCGUAGCAGUGAGACUGUGGGGGAUAAGCUUCAUAGUCGAGAGGGAAACAACCCAGACCACCAACUAAGGUCCCAAAGCGCGUGCUAAGUGGGAAAGGAUGUGGAGUUGCACAGACAACCAGGAGGUUGGCUUAGAAGCAGCCACCCUUUAAAGAAAGCGUAAUAGCUCACUAGUCGAGUCGGCCUGCGCGGAAGAUGUAACGGGGCUAAGCCAGUCACCGAAGCUGCGGAUAUAUUUCUCGUGAUUUAUCACUUGAUCUAUAUGGUAGGAGAGCGUUCUGUAAGCCUGCGAAGGUGUCUUGUAAAGGAUGCUGGAGGUAUCAGAAGUGCGAAUGCUGACAUGAGUAACGAUAAAGGGGGUGAAAAACCUCCUCGCCGGAAGACCAAGGGUUCCUGUCCAACGUUAAUCGGGGCAGGGUAAGUCGACCCCUAAGGCGAGGCCGAAAGGCGUAGUCGAUGGGAAACGGGUUAAUAUUCCCGUACUUCUUACAAUUGCGAUGGGGGGACGGAGAAGGCUAGAGCAGCACGGCGUUGGUUGUCCGUGUUUAAGGUCGUAGGCUGGGUGCUUAGGUAAAUCCGGGCGCCUAAGGCUGAGAACUGAUGACGAGUGUUCCUCGGAACAUGAAGUGCUUGAUGCCAUGCUUCCAAGAAAAGCCUCUAAGCUUCAGGUAAAAAGAAACCGUACUCCAAACCGACACAGGUGAUCAGGUAGAGAAUACCAAGGCGAUCGAGCGAACCAUGGUUAAGGAACUCGGCAAAAUGCCCCCGUAACUUCGGGAGAAGGGGGGCCUGAGGCGUGACGGAACCAGCAAUGGCUUCUUGAGCGUUUGAGGGCCGCAGAGACCAGGGAGAAGCGACUGUUUACUAAAAACACAGGGCUCUGCGAAGCCGCAAGGCGACGUAUAGGGUCUGACGCCUGCCCGGUGCCGGAAGGUUAAUUGAUGGGGUUAGCGCAAGCGAAGCUCUUGAUCGAAGCCCCGGUAAACGGCGGCCGUAACUAUAACGGUCCUAAGGUAGCGAAAUUCCUUGUCGGGUAAGUUCCGACCUGCACGAAUGGCGUAACGACUUCCCCGCUGUCUCCAACAUAGACUCAGUGAAAUUGAAUUCCCCGUGAAGAUGCGGGGUUCCCGCGGUCAGACGGAAAGACCCCGUGCACCUUUACUAUAGCUUCGCAUUGGCAUUAGGUCAGAAUUGUGCAGGAUAGGUGGUGGGCUUUGAAACCGGGACGCCAGUCUCGGUGGAGCCACCCUUGAGAUACCACCCUAUUCUGUCUUGAUGUCUAACCGCGGUCCGUUAUCCGGAUCCGGGACACUGCGUGGUGGGUAGUUUGACUGGGGCGGUCUCCUCCCAAAG